CAAGCUUUAGGUUAUUCACAUCUUUUGCUACCACAGAUGGUGCUGUAGUGAACAAGCUUCUUUUUCUUUGUACACACAGGUGAGUGUGUCUGUAGUUCACAGUAGGAUUGUUCACAGCUGUGGGAAAGUAUGAAGCAAAUGUGGUAAUGUCCGUAAAGUUUUACAAUAUAGUGUUAAUUAAAAAUAGGUGCUGAAUAGUGGAUAUAGACUGUACUUCCAUCUGAAUAAGAAAGGGAGAGAAGAGAUAUAUAAAAUUGUUCACCUAUCAGACUGA